rnacentral:rRNA from 1 species
GACGAACGCUGGCGGCGUGCUUAACACAUGCAAGUCGAACGAGUGGCUAACGGGUGAGUAAUACGUGGGUAACCGGCCCUCCUUUUGGGGAUAAGCCUUUGAAACGGGAUCUAAUACCGAAUAAAGGGGGAUGGGCUCGCGGCCUAUCAGCUUGUUGGUGGGGGGGUGGCGUACCAAGGCGGUGCCGUGGAGCCGGCCUGCGAGGGUGACCGGACACAUUGGGACUGGGAUACGGCCCAGACUCCUACGGGAGGCAGCAGUGGGGGAGAUUGCAAAAUGGGCGAAAGCCUGAGGCAGCGACGCCGCGUGGGGGAUGAAUGCUUUCGAGUUGUAAACCUCUUUCGCUCUCGAACGGGUAGGUAGAGAAAAAGCGACGGGUAACUACGUGCCAGCAGCCGCGGUAAUAC